rnacentral:rRNA from 1 species
UAGUGGCGAACGGGUGAGUAACACGUGGGCAAUCUGCCCUUCACUCUGGGACAAGCCCUGGAAACGGGGUCUAAUACCGGAUAACACUCCUGCCUGCAUGGGUGGGGGUUAAAAGCUCCGGCGGUGAAGGAUGAGCCCGCGGCCUAUCAGCUUGUUGGUGAGGUAGUGGCUCACCAAGGCGACGACGGGUAGCCGGCCUGAGAGGGCGACCGGCCACACUGGGACUGAGACACGGCCCAGACUCCUACGGGAGGCAGCAGUGGGGAAUAUUGCACAAUGGGCGAAAGCCUGAUGCAGCGACGCCGCGUGAGGGAUGACGGCCUUCGGGUUGUAAACCUCUUUCAGCAGGGAAGAAGCGAAAGUGACGGUACCUGCAGAAGAAGCGCCGGCUAACUACGUGCCAGCAGCCGCGGUAAUACGUAGGGCGCAAGCGUUGUCCGGAAUUAUUGGGCGUAAAGAGCUCGUAGGCGGCUUGUCA